CCUACGGGAGGCUGCAGUGGGGAAUAUUGGACAAUGGGCGAAAGCCUGAUCCAGCCAUGCCGCGUGUGUGAAGAAGGCCUUCGGGUUGUAAAGCACUUUCAGUGGGGAAGAAAGCCUUGGGGCUAAUACCCUCGAGGAAGGACAUCACCCACAGAAGAAGCACCGGCUAACUCCGUGCCAGCAGCCGCGGUAAUACGGAGGGUGCGAGCGUUAAUCGGAAUUACUGGGCGUAAAGCGCGCGUAGGCGGUCUGAUAAGCCGGUUGUGAAAGCCCCGGGCUCAACCUGGGAACGGCAUCCGGAACUGUCAGGCUAGAGUGCAGGAGAGGAAGGUAGAAUUCCCGGUGUAGCAGUGAAAUGCGUAGCGAUCGGGAGGAAUACCAGUGGCGAAGGCGGCCUUCUGGACUGACACUGACGCUGAGGUGCGAAAGCGUGGGUAGCAAACAGGAUUAGAUACCCCUGUAGUC
rnacentral:rRNA from 1 species